rnacentral:rRNA from 1 species
UACAGAGGGUGCGAGCGUUAAUCGGAAUUACUGGGCGUAAAGCGCACGUAGGUGGCGACGUAUGUCGGGUGUGAAAGCCCAUGGCUCAACCAUGGAAGGGCGUCCGAAACUGGCAAGCUAGAGUCCCGACGAGGAUGGCGGAAUUCCCAGUGUAGAGGUGAAAUUCGUAGAUAUCGAGAGGAACACCAGAGGUGAAGACGGGUUGCUGGGCUGACACUGACGCUGAGGCGCGAAAGCCAGGGGAGCAAACGGG